UACGUAGGCAGCGAGCGUUGUUCGGAGUUACUGGGCGUAAAGGGUGUGUAGGCGGUUCUUUUAAGUUUGGUGUGAAAUCUCCCGGCUCAACCGGGAGGGUGCGCCGAAUACUGAGGGACUAGAGUGCGGGAGAGGAAAGUGGAAUUCCCGGUGUAGCGGUGAAAUGCGCAGAUAUCGGGAAGAACACCCGUGGCGAAGGCGGCUUUCUGGGACGGUACUGACGCUGAGACGCGAAAGCGUGGGGAGCGAACAGG
rnacentral:rRNA from 1 species